rnacentral:rRNA from 1 species
ACCCUUAGAUGUUCUGGGCCGCACGCGCGCUACACUGAUGCGUUCAACGAGUUUAUAACCUUGAUCGAUAGUUCUGGGUAAUCUUUUGAACUCGCAUCGUGCUAGGGAUAGAUUAUUGCAAUUAUUAAUCUUGAACGAGGAAUUCCUAGUAAACGCAAGUCAUCAGCUUGCAUUGAUUACGUCCCUGCCCUUUGUACACACCGCCCGUCGCACCUACCGAUUGAAUGACUCGGUGAGAAAUUGGGACCGUGAGAUUGUCCUCCUUCAUUGGAGGCGUUUUCGUGGGAACUUUUUCAAACCUCGCCAUUUAGAGGAAGGUGAAGUCGUAACA